UACGUAGGUCCCGAGCGUUGUCCGGAUUUAUUGGGCGUAAAGCGAGCGCAGGUGGUUUAUUAAGUCUGGUGUAAAAGGCAGUGGCUCAACCAUUGUAUGCAUUGGAAACUGGUAGACUUGAGUGCAGGGGAGGAGAGUGGAAUUCCAUGUGUAGCGGUGAAAUGCGUAGAUAUAUGGAGGAACACCGGUGGCGAAAGCGGCUCUCUGACCUGUAACUGACACUGAGGCUCGAAAGCGUGGGGAGCAAACAGG
rnacentral:rRNA from 1 species